rnacentral:rRNA from 1 species
CAGUAGCCGCGGUAAUACGUAGGGGGCAAGCGUUAUCCGGAAUUACUGGGUGUAAAGGGAGCGUAGACGGUUAAACAAGUCUGAAGUGAAAUGCCGGGGCUCAACCCCGGAGCUGCUUUGGGAACUGUAGAACUGGAGUGUCGGAGGGGUAAGCGGAAUUCCCAGUGUAGCGGUGAAAUGCGUAGAUAUUGGGAGGAACACCGGCGGCGAAGGCGGCUUACUGGACGACAACUGACGUUGAGGCUCGAAGGCGUGGGUAGCAAACAGGAUUAGAUACCCGAGUAGUCCAUGUCUCUUAUAC